GAUGAACGCUGGCGGCGUGCCUAAUACAUGCAAGUCGAGCGAACAGACGAGGAGCUUGCUCCUCUGACGUUAGCGGCGGACGGGUGAGUAACACGUGGAUAACCUACCUAUAAGACUGGGAUAACUUCGGGAAACCGGAGCUAAUACCGGAUAAUAUAUUGAACCGCAUGGUUCAAUAGUGAAAGACGGUUUUGCUGUCACUUAUACAUGGAUCCUCGCCGCAUUAGCUAGUUGGUAAGGUAACGGCUUACCAAGGCAACGAUGCGUAGCCGACCUGAGAGGGUGAUCGGCCACACUGGAACUGAGACACGGUCCAGACUCCUACGGGAGGCAGCAGUAGGGAAUCUUCCGCAAUGGGCGCAAGCCUGACGGAGCAACGCCGCGUGAGUGAUGAAGGUCUUCGGAUCGUAAAACUCUGUUAUUCGGGAAGAACAAAUGUGUAAGUAUCUAUGCACGUCUUGACGGUACCUAAUCAGAAAGCCACGGCUAACUACGUG
rnacentral:rRNA from 1 species